CAUGACAGUCGAGCGGACAGAAGGGAGCUUGCUCCCGGAUGUUAGCGGCGGACGGGUGAGUAACACGUGGGUAACCUGCCUGUAAGACUGGGAUAACUCCGGGAAACCGGAGCUAAUACCGGAUAGUUCCUUGAACCGCAUGGUUCAAGGAUGAAAGACGGUUUCGGCUGUCACUUACAGAUGGACCCGCGGCGCAUUAGCUAGUUGGUGGGGUAAUGGCUCACC
rnacentral:rRNA from 1 species